rnacentral:lncRNA from 1 species
CAUUAGAUUUUGAGAUUUGGGUUUACAGUUUAGGGUUUUGGGUUUAUAUUUGGGUUUAGGAUUUAGUAAUUAGUGUUUAGGGUUUAGUAAUUUCGAUCUUAAACUUGGUCAUUUGGAAAAUGUAAAUGGAGUGGACCAGUACAACUAUACUAUUUAUAGCGGUUCCAUACUAUGUCGUCUACCUUGAGAAAAUUGACAACAUAUUAUAUAGAUCUUGUUUGGGUUUAUACUUUAGUUAUUUGGGUUUAGAUUUAGUAAUUAGGGAUUUGUCUAGGGUUUUAGUAUUUAAGUGGGCGAGUAGAGUUUAAUUUUUAUGGUUUAUAUUUGGGUUUAUGGUUUAGUGAUUAGAGUUUAGGGUUUAUAUUUGGGUUUAGGGUUUAUAUUUGGGUUUAAGGUUUAGUGAUUAGGGUUUAGGGUUUAUAUUAGGGUUUAGGAUUUAGCGAUUAGGGUUUAGGAUUUAGUGAUUAGUGUUUAGGGUUUAUAUCUGUGUUUAGGGUUUAGUGAUUAGGGUUUAGGGUUUAUAUUUGAGUUUAGGGUUUAGUGAUUAGGAUUUAGGGUUUAGUGAUUAGUGUUUAGGGUCUAUAUAUGGGUUUAGGGUUUGGUGAUUAGGGUUUAGGGUUUAUAUUUGGGUUUAUAGUUUAGUGAUUAGGGUUUAAUAAUUUUCUUUUCAAACUAGAGUUUAGAGUUUAGGGUUAAUAUGUCAUGUCUUCAAAUUUGAUAUUUCUCUUCUAUGCAAUUUUGUAUGAUUGCUCGUAAUGUAAAAUUAGUUUCAUUCAAAUGUUUGACAAUGUUUGGGUAUUGUCUAGUUCAAGAACGUCUUUUUCAUCAACAAGUACUUUUAUUUUUUCUUCUACUAUUUUACAUAUGAUUCCCAACUAACAUAAAUAGAACAAACAUUUGUAUACUAUUUUAUACAAUGUUCCAUACUAUGUAUGUAUAGUCUUGAAAAUAUUAUAAAAUAUUAUAUAUUUCAGAUUUUGAUUUUCUCUUAAAUAUAUAUUAUAGUUUAGAUUUGGGUUUAGGAUUUAGUGGCCAUGAUUUAGAGUUUAGUUUAGGGAUUUGUCUAGGGUUUUAGUAUUUAAGUGGGCGAGUAGAGUUUAAUUUUUAUGGUUUAUAUUUGGGUUUAUGGUUUAGUGAUUAGAGUUUAGGGUUUAUAUUUGGGUUUAGGGUUUAUAUUUGGGUUUAAGGUUUAGUGAUUAGGGUUUAGGGUUUAUAUUAGGGUUUAGGAUUUAGCGAUUAGGGUUUAGGAUUUAGUGAUUAGUGUUUAGGGUUUAUAUCUGUGUUUAGGGUUUAGUGAUUAGGGUUUAGGGUUUAUAUUUGAGUUUAGGGUUUAGUGAUUAGGAUUUAGGGUUUAGUGAUUAGUGUUUAGGGUCUAUAUAUGGGUUUAGGGUUUGGUGAUUAGGGUUUAGGGUUUAUAUUUGGGUUUAUAGUUUAGUGAUUAGGGUUUAAUAAUUUUCUUUUCAAACUAGAGUUUAGAGUUUAGGGUUAAUAUGUCAUGUCUUCAAAUUUGAUAUUUCUCUUCUAUGCAAUUUUGUAUGAUUGCUCGUAAUGUAAAAUUAGUUUCAUUCAAAUGUUUGACAAUGUUUGGGUAUUGUCUAGUUCAAGAACGUCUUUUUCAUCAACAAGUACUUUUAUUUUUUCUUCUACUAUUUUACAUAUGAUUCCCAACUAACAUAAAUAGAACAAACAUUUGUAUACUAUUUUAUACAAUGUUCCAUACUAUGUAUGUAUAGUACUUGAAAAUAUUAUAAAAUAUUAUAUAUUUCAGAUUUUGAUUUUCUUUUAAAUAUAUAUUAUAGCUUAGAUUUGGGUUUAGGAUUUAGUGGCCAUGAUUUAGAGUUUAGUAAUUAGGAGUUGGAUUUAGAGUUUAGUAUGAUAUUUUCCAUCUUUAUAUACUAUAGUUUAAUAUCACAAAAUAUUAUAUAUAUUUUCAGAUUUUAAUUUUAUUUAAAAUUAUAAAUAUAUAAUAUAGUUUACAUUUGAGUUUGGGUUUAGUGGUUCAUUUAGGCUUUAGUAUUUAAAAGUUGGAUUUAAUGAAAUGUUUGUGGUGAUAUGAAGUAAAAUUAAUGAAAUGUUUGUGGUUAUGUGUAUGUGAUGUGGCUGUGUUAUCUUCCUUUUGUUGGUGACAGUUUGCAUUAAUUAUUGGCCACAGUUGGAUUUUGUCAACGUCAUCUCCACAUCUUGAAGCCACCGGCAACUUGUAUGAAUCAAGGGUAAAACCGGUGGAAAUGAAACACAAUUGAUAGAUACUACAUUAUGUCAAAAUCAG